UACGUAGGGUGCAAGCGUUGUCCGGAAUUAUUGGGCGUAAAGAGCUCGUAGGCGGUUUGUUGCGUCUGCUGUGAAAACCCGAGGCUCAACCUCGGGCCUGCAGUGGGUACGGGCAGACUAGAGUGCGGUAGGGGAGAUUGGAAUUCCUGGUGUAGCGGUGGAAUGCGCAGAUAUCAGGAGGAACACCGGUGGCGAAGGCGGGUCUCUGGGCCGUAACUGACGCUGAGGAGCGAAAGCAUGGGGAGCGAACAGG
rnacentral:rRNA from 1 species